AUGAACGCUAGCGGCAGGCUUAAUACAUGCAAGUCGAGGGGCAGCAGGGUGUAGCAAUACAUCGCUGGCGACCGGCAAACGGGUGCGGAACACGUACACAACUUUCCUUUAAGUGGGGAUAGCCCAGAGAAAUUGGAUUAAUACCCCGUAACUAUUAUGAAGUGGCAUCAUUUAUAAUUAUAGCUCCGGCGCUUGAAGAUGGGUGUGCGGCUGAUUAGGUAGNGGUCGGGGUAACGGGCCCACCAAGCCUACGAUCAGUAACUGGUGUGAGAGGCACGACCAGUCACACGGGCACUGAGACACGGGCCGACUCCUACGGAGGCAGCAGUAAGGAAUAUUGGUCAAUGGACGCAAGUCUGAACCAGCCAUGCCGCGUGAAGG
rnacentral:rRNA from 1 species